CUUGCCUUAUUCAUUGUAUGGCUCUUUUCCUUUAGCUGAGGCGCGAGCUAGCCUGUCUAUAGUUUACCCCAACAGGGUAUCAACUAGUGAUAAUGGAAAGACUUGAGACUACUAUUGCGCUAACGACUGGGCGAGCGAGGUCCCGAGUUAAGUCCAUAAAUAACCAUAUAUAAUCUAGGACUUCCCCCCGAAGAAAGGAAAGUUUUUCAUGUAAUUGAUUAAUCAACAAGAUGAGAUUUAAAAAAAAGGAUUUGCCGUGGAAAGACUCCAGUCCUGAAUGAGUAGGUUCCCCCUUCCCUUUUCCUUUACGGAUAUGGCACCACUCUAUGUAUGAUAAAUUUUUUACAUAUAGAAUCAAAGGCAUUAACCAGAGAAGACUUUUGAGAAAGAUAGCUAAAAAGGACUGGUUCUCGAGCUUCCUGAACCCACUACCGCCGAAUAGUUCGUUCAGAAAGGCCUCUAGAUCGCAUUUAAAUGGCUUUCAAGGAAGCAUGCAAAAGACCUCAAGCUCAAGUCUUCGUUCGCUUCAAAAAAUGUCCUUGGUAACGACCUUCUACAGAUUUGCUCUCCAGAAUGCUCUUUUUGGUCAGGGUCUCAUUGGUAGUUUCAGUCCAGCUCAUACUGAAAGCAUUCCUUUUUAAUAUACUGAGUUGCGGCUCACCUGCUCUUAGCUAAUUGGUUUAGGCGGGGACCUCUCAUUAAGGCAACAUGCCUAAGGACGAAG
rnacentral:lncRNA from 1 species